UGGUCUUAGAGGGUUUUCCUGCUCCCUGCGCUGGCUCUGUUUUCGGCGAGUUCUUUUUCUCUCCGGAUUUUGGUCUCUGCCUUUCAUGUUUUGAGCUUGUCUCACGUGUCCGGUGAUCCUUGGCUACGAGUUCACGUUGAAGAACAGGAGACUGAAAACAGAUCAUCAGAAUGUCCAUGCCUAUGGGCACUUGGACAGGAUGCGUGGCUCUAUUUCACUCACUUGCUCUUCGUUCCACCCAGACCUGACACCUGACCCUUGCUGCUCUUCAACUCGGACAAGCAUAAGAAAAAGAGGACACUUGAGUGUGGUGCCAAGGAUUUAAAUGAGCUGCGUGGGAGUCCAAGGCCUGGGGCAGAAGGAGUGUUCCAGGUGAGAGAGCCAUGAAGAGGAUCCGGGGAGCUACUUUAGUCUCGUGUGGGAGAGGUCAACCACAUGGACUGCGCUUAGAUCUCCAGUAUAGCUGUGAGGUCUUGGGCAAAUAAAUCACUACACUUCUCUGAGACUUAAUUUCUUCACCUGUAAAAAAAAGGAGAAGUAUGCCUACUUCCAGGGCAGUUUUAGGAGAGAAUGUAGGUCACUUUGCACAUGCUGUUCCCUCUGGCUGAGAUGCUG